UUUUUCACUAAGUCUUUAGAGGUUUUAAGAUUCAAACACUAUGUAAGAAGAAUUAUGGUUUGAACUACGUAACAAUUACCUAGACAUCUUUUGGACUUCAGUUAACCUGUGUCAAGCACUGCAGUAGAUUCUGAAGAUACAAAAAUAAAUAAAACAUUCCUGCCCUCAAGACACUUACACUCUUAUGUGUAACACUGUGUGACCAUUCAUCUGGGCCUUCCUGAGACAGUCUUGGUUUACACCUGUUUUCCCAAUCAGAGCAUCACUGCCUUUCCCACUAUUCUCCUGCAGAAGAGCAGGGGAAGGAAGCACCAGGGUCCAUCAUGGAGGAAGGGUGUUGCCCUGAACAGCUGACACACCCUCAGCAAUGAAGCUUAGUUUUGCUGGAACUUUUCAGUUGUGACAACUGAGAUUCAGAGAUGUCCAAUCUACUCACAUAAAUAGCCUGGUUGAAGAUGGCUGAGCGUAAAACAGAAUGCAAGUCAGCUGGAGCACGUACUACUGGAGGCAGAGCCCCAUGAGAAGGGGCCAAGAACCCGCACCCAUCAAAAUCAAGAAGAAAGGCUGAACCCGGAGAGAAAAGGGAGCAACUGAUGUUGCCAUGCAGAUCCCUUGGUUGCUAUGAGAUGGUAACAUCACUCUGCCCCACCAUUGGCCAGUGCCUCCUCAGCUGCGGUGCCUCCCAGGCUGUGUGGUUCUCACGCGGGCCACUGACACAGAGCUGUUACUAUGGUGAACUUUACAAUUUCCUUUGAUUGGUGGAUUUCAGAAAUAGGCCAUCAGCGGAAUUCAUUAUAUUCAGCUAAGUAAAAAUGAAAAAUAAAUACUAUAACUUUCCCCUCAUCACUAACAUGAAGGAAACGUGACCCUUCAUGACAUAAUAAAUCGCUGUUCGGUAACUUAGGAUCCUUCAGGGGACUGAAGCGGGAUGAUCCUCCUAUGCCAAAUUUGGGUGGGAAAGAUAUUCCCUGUAGCUUUGAGUCGACUCUUCAGAGUUAAGGGCAGUGGGCCAACCAGAGUUGGAACUUCAGAGUUGGGAGGAGGUGUGGGAUGGGGCAUGCAUUGAAAUGUAAACUCUAUUGUCUCUGAAGUGAUGGGUGAUGCUGGGGGCCUGAGUGUGGAGGGCAGUUUUACAUCUCAGGACAAUGUUUUCUCAGAUGCUCUUCCAGAAAGAAAAGCCAGGAGUACUCCUGGCUGGAGGCGGCAUGCCUGAGGUCAGAGUCAAAGUAGGGUUUGUGCUGUCUGAAUCCUUUCUCCCACUCUCCCCAGCCUGGCUCAGCUUCUCAGCUUCUCAGGUGGAUUGGCCUCUGAGCCCAAGCCAAGCCAUCGCAUCCCCUGUGACUUGCCCGUAUAUAUGCCCAGAUGGCCUGAAGUAACUGAAGAAUCACAAAAGAAGUGAAUAUGCCUUGCCCCACCUUGACUGAUGACAUUCCACCACAAAAGAAGUGUAAAUGGCCGGUCCUUGCCUUAACUGAUGACAUUACCUUGUGAAAGUCCUUUUCCUGGCUCAUCCUGGCUCAAAAAGCACCCCCACUGAGCAUCUUGCGACUCCCACUCCUGCCCACUGAGCACCUUGUGACCCCCACUCCUGCCUGCCAGAGAACAAACCCCCUUUGACUGUAAUUUUCCUUUACCUACCCAAAUCCUAUAAAACGGCUCCACCCUUAUCUCCUUUUGCUGACUCUCUUUUCUGACUCAGCCCGCCUGCACCCAGGA
ensembl:lncRNA novel transcript, antisense to PELI1